rnacentral:lncRNA from 1 species
UAAGGUUCCCUUCUAGAAGAGUAUCAGAACAUUAAAACCAUUUUUGACCAAUCACAACAAUUACAUUCUUCAAUUGCAAAAGCUCGUAUUCUGGCUAAGAGUAUGGUUCCCUUGGAGAAGAGUAUUAGUACGUUAAAAACCUAAUCAAUUAGAAUACCAGAGCUUGCUCAUGGCACUGACAAAAUGCGGAUCCAAAAUCCAGAACCAUUUCAUGUAUGAAAUUGAUGAACCAACAAGCUGAACUCAUUGAAACUGACUAUCAUGUCAGGACUCCCAAUAAUCUGACAUACUAUACAUCAUAUACUACUCUUGUGCAGAAUAAGAACCGAUAGAAGAAACUAGAACUCAUCCUGAGCAGACUAAGAAUCAACUGAAGAAACUAGAACUCAUCCUGAGCAGACCAAGAAUCAACUAAAGAAACUAAGAAACCCAAAUUCUGCUUUCCUUUUAUAAUUAAUGUUUCAAACACAAUGAUAACCAACAGCCCAGAUCUUACCUUUACUGAUUAGCUUUGCUUUCACAACAAAUGUUUCAAAUAUUAGCAAACACUAAACCCUUUCUUGCAGCUAUUAU